rnacentral:pre_miRNA from 12 species
AACCGCCUGUGGAAAACGUUUAUCACAGGCGGUUGGCUUAAGUCAACCGCCUGUGAUAAACGUUUCCACAGGCGGCC